rnacentral:lncRNA from 1 species
CCCCGCCGCUCCUGGGCGGUCCUAGCCACUUACAGCAAGAAGAAAAGCCAGCCAUUCGUCCACCUCCUCUAGCUCCCAUUCUUUGACCUGGAGCUGAGUUCAUAGCAGUCACGCCCCUUCCUUCCGAGUCGCUUUCUGGUUGCCCAAGCUGGUAGAACCCCUGAAUUACGGCCUUAUCCCUGCUGUCUUUCGCCUCCUCUUCUCCCAGUUCUCCCCCCAUCCCCCUCCCGAGUCUGUGUCGCCUCCGACCAUCUGCUGCUCCACCCUUCGGCCGGGUAUCCUGCCUGUCCACUGCCACCAAGGAACGCACGGACGAAGCAGCGAGAAAGGGAGCAGCCGCGAGUUGGGGCUCCCCGCCCCCGCCCAUCCUUGGCCGCCAGCCAGGGACCAAAGCCACCUGAAUGAGCGGAGAGUCGUCACCUUGUCUUCGUUGCCUUCAGGGAGUUGCUGAGAAGGGCAAAUAAGAUAACAGAAAUGAAUGUGCUGUUGUCUCCUUAGAAGAAAGGCUAAGAAACUAAAGGUAAUAUUAUUUUAUUCUUAGUCCAUAUCUUUUUUUCAUUCUCUUCUCCUGUUGCUGUUGCUACCCAAGGACU